UCAACCAUACUCUAAAAAAAAGAUUACAUGAGUUCACAAUUCCACUCCUGGGUAUAUAUAUGAAAAAAAAAGGGACAUUAGUUUGAAAAGCUACAUGCGCCCCAAUAUUCAUAAUAGCAUUAUUUACAAUUGCCAAGAUAUGGAGGCAACAUAAGAGUCUAUCAACAGAUGAACAGAUAAAGAAGGUAUAGUGUGUGUGUGUGUGUGUAUAUUUACACACACAUACUGGAAUGCUACUCAACCAUAAAAAGAAUGAAAAUUUACUAUCUGCAAUAACAUGGGUGGAUUUGGAGGAUAUUAUGCUUCGUGAAAUGUCAGACAGAGGCAAAUACUGUAUGAUAUCACUUACAUAUGGAAUCUAAAAAAUACGAAAAACUAGUUAAUAAAACACAAAAGAAGCGGACUCACAGAUAGAACAUACCAGUGGUUGCCAGUGGGUAACGGGAAGGGGAGGGGGCCAAGCCAGGGGUGAGGGAUGAGGAAGUGUGAGCAAUCACACAUGCGAUAACUAAGCUACAAGGAUAUAUUGUACAGCCUAGGAAAUAUAGCCAAUAUAUUAUAAAACCCAUAAAUGGAGUAUAACCUUUAAAAAUGGUGAAUUAUCACGUUGUAACACCUGACACGUAUAUAAUCUUGUAUAUCGCCUACACCUCAGUUUACAGAACGAUCGCGUGCAUUCAUAAGCACGGGGUCCUAAUCCUGUUGGACCGGUGGCCUUGUAGGAGGAAAAGAGAUACCUCUCUCUGCCUCUCUCUGUCUCUGUCUCUGUCUUUCUCUCCAUAUACAGGUGGUGAAGAAAGGCCAUGUCAGGACACCGUGAAAAGACGGCCGUCUGUAUCCUGAUCUUGGGCUUCCAGCCUCCAGAACUGUGAGAAAAACGAAUGUCUAGUGUUGAAGCCCCAGCCCAUGCUGUAUUGUGGUGGCAGCCUCGUGCUAAGACACCUGCCACCGGGCAGUGUGGAUGGGAUGCUGCAGCCCCGAGGGAUGACUACGGCAAAUGUGGAUGCUCGGGAGUUUUAGGAGUUGAUGGAUGCGCAAGGAUGUCGUCAGAAAAAGCCAGGGCUUCCCGAGACCAGGGGCAGCUCACAGGAGGACACCGACAGAAGAUUCUGAUGGGAACAAAGCUGGAACCACAGGGUGGUUUUGGUUUUGGUUUGGUGCCUCCGUUAAGAGCACCGCUGGCUGUCGAGGCAGAGAGGAAGUGGAACAGAACCCGAGCUGGGAAGGAGCUGACACGUAAUCCCACGGAAAUUGUGGAACAUCCCUUCUGCUACUCUUUCAGUCAUGCUGGGAGAAAGGGAGCUGCUCUGUAACAAGGUGUUUUGGCGUAUUCAUAGGAGGAGGUGGGUUCAGGGUCUUCCCAUCCUGCCAUCUUGCCUCCUCUCUCAUGCACAUUUCCUGGCACGCUCUGGGUAAGAUAUUCAUUUGGGGACAUCAACAAAGCAAAGAAACAACCUCAGAGGGAGUCACUGGAAGCCACUAUUCACAGACAGCAUGAUGGAAGAAGCAGUGUCCCACAUAACGACACUUCCAGUGGUUGAUGAACGGGAUUCAUAAAUGCAGAUGCAAAAGAUCUAUGUUGUCUCAGGAUCUGAAGUGCCACCACAUGGUGAAUAAUAGCUGCACUGCUGCCAUCAUCUUGCUGUACAAGAGACAAAAUCAGCCAGGAAUGGUGCAUUCGAUGAGAAAAAACAGGACCUGCAUAGGAAGAGAAGACGCAGAUGUCGCAAAGUGUGCUGAUUGAACACGGUCAUCCUCUCUGUCCAUUGUUCCAAACCUUCAUUGAUAAACCACUCUGUCCUCAAUUUUAA